rnacentral:miRNA from 1 species
GUGUGUGUGUGUGUGUGUGUAUUUAGCAGACUGUGUACUCAGCAGUCUGCUAAAUACAGACAGACUGCUAAGUACACAGACAGACUG